rnacentral:rRNA from 1 species
UACGUAGGUGACAAGCGUUGUCCGGAUUUACUGGGCGUAAAGAGCGCGCAGGCGGUCGUUCAAGUCGAGUGUGAAAGCCCCCGGCUCAACUGGGGAGGGUCAUUCGAUACUGAUCGACUCGAAGGCAGGAGAGGGUAGUGGAAUUCCCGGUGUAGUGGUGAAAUGCGUAGAUAUCGGGAGGAACACCAGUGGCGAAGGCGACUACCUGGCCUAUUCUUGACGCUGAGGCGCGAAAGCUAGGGGAGCAAACGGG